AAAAAGCUCGUAGUUGGAUCUAGGGACGCGCAUUUCAAGCGCCCGUGCCAUCGGGUCAAACCGGUGGCUGCGUUGGCGUUGCGGGCUCGGUCCGUCGGUGCCCCACAAAGGUUAUCGGCGUGUCAACCGGCCCGCCCGUCCCCUCCUUCUGGAUUCCCGUUCCUGCUAUUGAGUUAGUGGGGACGUCACAGGGGGUUCAUCGUCGGCGUUUCAACGCGUCGGCGGUGGAUCUCUGGGGCCCAGAUCGUUUACCGUGAAAAAAUUAGAGUGUUCAAAGCAGGCAGAUUCAAUUUUCUGCCACCGAAUACAUUAGCAUGGGAUAAUGGAAAUAGGACCCUGUCCUCCUAUUUUCAGUUGGUUUUGGCAGCGCGAGGACUAGGGUAAUGAUUAAUAGGGAUAGUUGGGGGCAUUAAUAUUUAAUUGUCAGAGGUGAAAUUCUUGGAUUUAUGAAAGAUUAACUUCUGCGAAAGCAUCUGCCAAGGAUGUUUUCAUUAAUCAAGAACGAAAGUUAGGGGAUCGAAGACGAUCAGAUACCGUCGUAGUCUUAACCAUAAACGAUGCCGACCAGCGAUUAGGAGACGUUGAAUACAAAACACCACCAUCGGCGCGGUCGUCCUUGGCGUUCGUGUUCACGCACGAGCGCGAGGGCGGCUUAGCCCGAUGGCACCGGUGAAUGACUCCCCUAGCAGCUUGUGAGAAAUCAUAAGUUUUGGGUUCCGGGGGGAGUAUGGUCGCAAGGCUGAAAC
rnacentral:rRNA from 1 species